rnacentral:rRNA from 1 species
AGUGAACGCGGGCGGUAGGCCUAACACAUGCAAGUCGAACGGCAGCACAGAGGAGCUUGCUCCUUGGGUGGCGAGUGGCGGACGGGUGAGGAAUACAUCGGAAUCUACUCUGUCGUGGGGGAUAACGUAGGGAAACUUACGCUAAUACCGCAUACGACCUACGGGUGAAAGCAGGGGAUCUUCGGACCUUGCGCGAUUGAAUGAGCCGAUGUCGGAUUAGCUAGUUGGCGGGGUAAAGGCCCACCAAGGCGACGAUCCGUAGCUGGUCUGAGAGGAUGAUCAGCCACACUGGAACUGAGACACGGUCCAGACUCCUACGGGAGGCAGCAGUGGGGAAUAUUGGACAAUGGGCGCAAGCCUGAUCCAGCCAUACCGCGUGGGUGAAGAAGGCCUUCGGGUUGUAAAGCCCUUUUGUUGGGAAAGAAAUCCAGCCGGCUAAUACCUGGUUGGGAUGACGGUACCCAAAGAAUAAGCACCGGCUAACUUCGUGCCAGCAGCCGCGGUAAUACGAAGGGUGCAAGCGUUACUCGGAAUUACUGGGCGUAAAGCGUGCGUAGGUGGUUAUUUAAGUCCGUUGUGAAAGCCCUGGGCUCAACCUGGGAACUGCAGUGGAUACUGGAUGACUAGAAUGUGGUAGAGGGUAGCGGAAUUCCUGGUGUAGCAGUGAAAUGCGUAGAGAUCAGGAGGAACAUCCAUGGCGAAGGCAGCUACCUGGACCAACAUUGACACUGAGGCACGAAAGCGUGGGGAGCAAACAGG